CAGUCGAACGAAGCAUAUAAAAGGAAUUUCUUCGGAGAGGAAUUUUCUAUGACUGAGUGGCGGACGGGUGAGUAACGCGUGGGCAACCUACCCCACACAGGGGGACAACAGUUGGAAACGACUGCUAAUACCGCAUAGGCGCACAGCUUCGCAUGAAGCAGUGUGGAAAACCGAGGUGGUGUGGGAUGGGCCCGCGUCUGAUUAGCUGGUUGGCGGGGUAACGGCCCACCAAGGCGACGAUCAGUAGCCGGCCUGAGAGGGUGGACGGCCACAUUGGGACUGAGACACGGCCCAAACUCCUACGGGAGGCAGCAGUGGGGAAUAUUGCACAAUGGGGGAAACCCUGAUGCAGCGACGCCGCGUGAGCGAAGAAGUAUUUCGGUAUGUAAAGCUCUAUCAGCAGGGAAGAAAAUGACGGUACCUGACUAAGAAGCCCCGGCUAAAUACGUGCCAGCAGCCGCGGUAAUACGUAUGGGGCAAGCGUUAUCCGGAUUUACUGGGUGUAAAGGGAGCGCAGGCGGCUUGGCAAGUCUGAUGUGAAAGGCUGGGGCUCAACCCCAGGACUGCAUUGGAAACUGUUAGGCUGGAGUGUCGGAGAGGUAAGCGGAAUUCCUAGUGUAGCGGUGAAAUGCGUAGAUAUUAGGAGGAACACCAGUGGCGAAGGCGGCUUACUGGACGACAACUGACGCUGAGGCUCGAAAGCGUGGGGAGCAAACA
rnacentral:rRNA from 1 species